rnacentral:rRNA from 1 species
AACGACUCUCGGCAACGGAUAUCUCGGCUCUCGCAUCGAUGAAGAACGUAGCGAAAUGCGAUACUUGGUGUGAAUUGCAGAAUCCCGCGAACCAUCGAGUCUUUGAACGCAAGUUGCGCCCGAGGCCAUCAGGCCGAGGGCACGUCUGGCUGGGUGUCACGCAAC